GAUGAACGCUGGCGGCGUGCCUAAUACAUGCAAGUCGAGCGAACAGACGAGGAGCUUGCUCCUCUGACGUUAGCGGCGGACGGGUGAGUAACACGUGGAUAACCUACCUAUAAGACUGGGAUAACUUCGGGAAACCGGAGCUAAUACCGGAUAAUAUAUUGAACCGCAUGGGUCAAUAGUGAAAGACGGUUUUGCUGUCACUUAUAGAUGGAUCCGCGCCGCAUUAGCUAGUUGGUAAGGUAACGGCUUACCAAGGCGACGAUGCGUAGCCGACCUGAGAGGGUGAUCGGCCACCCUGGAACUGAGACACGGUCCAGACUCCUACGGGAGGCAGCAGUAGGGAAUCUUCCGCAAUGGGCGAAAGCCUGACGGAGCAACGCCGCGUGAGUGAUGAAGGUCUUCGGAUCGUAAAACUCUGUUAUUAGGGAAGAACAAAUGUGUAAGUAACUAUGCACGUCUUGACGGUACCUAAUCAGAAAGCCACGGCUAACUACGUG
rnacentral:rRNA from 1 species